rnacentral:miRNA from 10 species
GAUGUCCCUGUUUGUCCCUGUUCAGGUGCCACUUGUGGCUGUGUGCCACAAGUACUAUUUGAGACCAUCAC